rnacentral:rRNA from 1 species
UUUAAACACCCCAUGAGACGCAAGUAACCUGACUGGUGGGAUGGCUUGUGCCUGCACCAUCGACCGACCAUGAUCUUCUGUGAAAGGUUUGAGUACGAGCAUACCUGUUGGGACCCGAAAGAUGGUGAACUAUGCCUGAGCAGGGCGAAGCCAGAGGAAACUCUGGUGGAGGCUCGUAGAUGUGCUGACGUGCAAAUCGCUUUUCGGACUUGGGUAUAGGGGCGAAAGACUCUAGUAGCUGGUUCCCUCCGAAGUUUCCCCCAGGAUAGCUGGAGCUUGAUCAGUUUUAUCAGGUAAAGCGAAUGAUUAGAGGUACCGGGGAUGAAACAUCCUCGACCUAUUCUCAAACUUUAAAUAGGUAAGACGUCUGGGUUGCUUAAUUGAACCCAGGCAUUCAAUGAGAGCUCCAAGUGGGCCAUUU